rnacentral:tRNA from 1 species
CUGCCUUUAGCUUAACCGGAUAGAGCAAUGCCCUUCUAAGGCAUAGGUUACUGGUUCAACUCCAGUAAGGCAGGC